rnacentral:lncRNA from 1 species
UUCGUUUUUUCCUCUUUCUUUCUAGAUCUGAAAAUCAUUCUUAAAAUCUAUGAAGACUUGAGUAAAGAUUUUGGGAAUAUGUUUUCUUUUCUGGGUAAGCUUCAAAUUCAGUACAAUUUGUGGGAAUCUAUUCUCUUCUUCGGCUAAGUUUCAAGUUCCGGCGAUUUGUCUCUAUGUGUAUCUAUAGUUCAUUUUCUCUUUCAGUGAGCAUCAAUAAAUGUGUGACUUCUUGAAAGUCUCAAAUCUAACUCUGAGCACAAAGAGAAACCCAAAAAGGUAAAAUUAAGAAAAUAGGAGAAAAUUAUUUUUACAAAUUUAUAGUUUUUGAAAUGGAAUAAGAUGUACUGGGUUUUAUUUGAGUACUUCAUUUGAAGUUUCACCCGUUAAUUCUUUUUUUUUUUUUAUUGCAUGCGUUGGAAUUUUCCAGAUUAUUCUUUCUGGGUUUUGUUAAAGGUGGAGAUUGACAAUGACCCCACCGUUUGUUUUCUUCUUUUAAUCAUUUCACGGGAGGCUUGUGAAUUGUACCUAAUUUUUUUUUUUUACACUGCUUUCUAGAUUUGAAACAGAAAUUGCCCUCAUCACAUACAGCCUCUCCACCAUGAAAUUCUCCGACUUCUCCGCCUUGCGUUAUCUCGUACCAUGUUUUUCUACACCAACAUUUUCCACUUUAUUGAAGCACUUUUCAAGUUUAUUAAUCUUUAGCUUUGUUCUCAUUUCACAUCCAUGUUUGUUUGUUCGUUUUUGUUUUUAUUUUUUUUAUUUGUAAUUUGAAACCAAAUCCAUGUAAAAAUUUGGCCGGGGGGGGGGGGGGGGGGGGGGGUGUUAAGUGAACAAACCUCGAUGUUAUAUUUACUUGGUUGGAUCUUGAUUAGAUCUAAAUAAAUCAUUACAGACUUACUUUGAACUGUUUGAAAGAUUUUCUAUUGUUGUUUAUAUUUAUUUUGUUAGGUGGGUUUUGUGUUGUGAAUUUUCUUGAAUUGAAAUGGGUUGUGGAAGACAUGACAACUCAUAAACAAGCUUCGACAAUGGCAGAAGAUAUAUGGACAAGGGGGUGUUUGAUAGUCAUUCAUUUUUACGUAAAAAUACAUUUUAAAAUAGUAAAUCGGUGUGAAAUGUGUGAUUGAAAAAUAAGGAAAAGUUUUUUAUUCGCGUGUAAUAUUAUUUUAAUAAAGAAUAUGUGGUUGAAAAGAAGGGAA